UAAAACCCCGUGUUUGAAGCCCAAUUAAGACAAAAAUACAAAACCCACGUGAGAGUUUUUUGCCCUAAGAUCGUCUUUUCUGCGCUGCUACUGUACUUCCUCUUCUUCUCCCCUUUACUCAGUUAUUUAUGUCUUUAUUUUGAAGCUCGAAUUGUUGCUCGCUGCUCGAAAUGAAGCUCGCUGCUCGAAUUUGAUGCGCCACGCUGCUACAUCACUUCUCGUCUUCUCCACGCUGCUACAUCAAGGUUCUAGAAUAUGGCAAGUUCGUCUACCAGAAAACGGAAAUUUCGACUAUGAUGAAAAUUAAUUUGUUUUGUUGGUUAUUUAGAUUAAUUACUAAAAGUUGUAAACUUGUAAUGCUUAAAAAAUAUUUUCCUUGUAUUUUUUUAGAAUUGUAAACUUUAAAAUAACAUUUAUAGAAUUGUGUUAACCAUGUAUGACACUAAUAUUGAUCUUAUGUGAGCAAAA